rnacentral:rRNA from 1 species
GACGAACGCUGGCGGCGCGCCUAACACAUGCAAGUCGAACGAGCGAGCGAGAGCUUGCUUUCUUGAGCGAGUGGCGAACGGGUGAGUAACGCGUGAGGAACCUGCCUCAAAGAGGGGGACAACAGUUGGAAACGACUGCUAAUACCGCAUAAGCCCACGGUGCCGCAUGGCACAGAGGGAAAAGGAGCAAUCCGCUUUGAGAUGGCCUCGCGUCCGAUUAGCUAGUUGGUGAGGUAACGGCCCACCAAGGCGACGAUCGGUAGCCGGACUGAGAGGUUGAGCCGCCACAUUGGGACUGAGACACGGCCCAGACUCCUACGGGAGGCAGCAGUGGGGAAUAUUGCACAAUGGGGGAAACCCUGAUGCAGCGACGCCGCGUGGAGGAAGAAGGUCGUCGGAUUGUAAACUCCUGUUGUUGGGGAAGAUAAUGACGGUACCCAACAAGGAAGUGACGGCUAACUACGUG